rnacentral:tRNA from 1 species
AGGGGCGUAGUUUAAUGGUAGAACAUCUCUCUCCAAAAGAGAUGGCGUGGGUUCGAUUCCUACCGCCCCUG